rnacentral:lncRNA from 1 species
UUGGGAUAUUUGUAACUUUCUAAUUCAUGGUUAAGGUGUGAGAUAUUAAGGAGUAACAAUAAGACUUAUAGCUGCGGAUAUUGAUGCUUGAUCCCGACUAGUAUAAUUGAUAUCAACAAUUAAUAUUUUUGCAUAGAUUGAAGCCACUGGAGGCUAUUUGGUUGGUGUCCACACAUUGCCGGGUUGGAGAACUUGUUAUUAGUGAG